rnacentral:rRNA from 1 species
GAUGAACGCUGACAGAAUGCUUAACACAUGCAAGUCGAUGGGGAAGUGGUGCUUGCACCAUGGUAACCAUGGCGGACGGGUGGGUAACGCGUAAGGAACUUACCUGCGGGACCGGGAUAACAGCAGGAAACUGCUGACAAGACCGGAUAAGGUCAUUAAGCUGCAUAGCUUAGUGAUGAAAGGAGACGCCUGCGGAGAGCCUUGCGUCCUAUUAGCUAGUUGGAGGGGUAACGGCCCACCAAGGCGAAGAUAGGUAGCCGGCCUGAGAGGGUGGACGGCCACAAGGGGACUGAGAUACGGCCCUUACUCCUACGGGAGGCAGCAGUGGGGAAUAUUGGACAAUGGGGGCAACCCUGAUCCAGCAAUUCUGUGUGCACGAAGACGGUUUUCGGAUUGUAAAGUGCUUUCAGCAGGGAAGAAGGAAGUGACGGUACCUGCAGAAGAAGCGACGGCUAAAUACGU